GCCAUUGCACUCCAGCCUGGGUAACAAGAGCGAAACUCCAUCUCAAAAAAAAAAAAAAACCGAGAAAUCUGAGAUUCAGAUUAGAUUACUCAUACAAAGCCAGGCAGCCAAUGCAAAGUGAAGCCUUAAUGAGCUGUCAGUGUUGUUACUCUAAUUCUCUCCACCGAGUUCCAUCGAGUAUCCUUGCAGCGCCGCCCUCAGGACUCCGAGCAGUUUCCGAGGCGUUGGAGUUGGGCUGGGGAUCCCGGGUCGCGAGACGCGCGGGCCCUUAAGCUGAAAAUGGCGGACGAAGGGAAGGAUACUUCAGUCAGGGUAGGGAGGAAGGGCACUCGGUGACCAGAAACCUUUUCCAGGACCAUAUUGUUAAAGCAAAUCUCAGCUCUUGUCUUCGGGAAACGAUGGAGACAGAAUCCAGAAGCCUGAGGAGCCUAGGAAUAUGAGCCCAAAGAAUGAAGGAAUGAGAAGAAGGGGAAAAAAAGUUACUUCUCGCAUUACUGGAAGCAACACAGGAGCAGACUAGGAAAAUCAAAAUAAUUCACAGAUCCUUUGAAAGAAACAGCUGGCCACUGCAAAUUCCGCAAGACAUGCAAAAAUCUCUGGCACUCUCUUGCAAACACCACCUCCUGGCUGGAGGCCAAUCACCAACUCAGGACAUUACAGCAACUCAUGGCAGAACAACCCUGCUCCAAGGAAGGAGAAAACAACAGCUAAUUCUACUACCUACAACAUCCUGGCUAACCAGUGGUCCUGAAUCUGUCUACAUGACAACUUUACUGCUAGCAGAAUCAGCAUCCAAGAAAGCCAACGCACUAAACAUAUCUACAACCAAGGACUCUGUCAGUCUACUUCACUUCCCUGCCACUUACACCAGAGCAGGUGCUGGUUCCAUGGCUGGUAGACCUGAAGAUGGAUCACAUCAUAGGACUCUUUGCAGACAUUCCUCAGCACCAGCCCAGAGCCUGGUAGCUCUGCUGGUUGGCUAGACCCAGAAGAGCAACAACAAUCGCUGCAGUCAGGCUUGCAGGAAGACCCAUCUGUAGGGGAAGGGAGAGUAUACUACAUCAAGAGACCAGCCCAUGGGAAAAAAGAAUCUGAACAGCAAUCAUUGAGUUCCAGACUUUUCCACUGAAAUAGACUACACAAAUGAGAAGGAAUCAGAAAAGUAACAUUGGUAAUAUGACAAAACAAGUUUCUGUAACACCGCCAAAAGACGACACUAGCUCUGCAACAGUGGAUCCUAACCAAGAAUAAAUCUCUGAAUUACCUGAUAAAAAAUUCAGAAUGUUGAUUAUUAAGCUUCUCAAAGAGAUAGCAGGGAAAGGUGAAAAGCAACAUAAAGAGAUUUAAAGACAAUAUAGGAUAUGGAUGAAAAAUGCUCCAGAGAAAAAGAAAACAAUCACAACUUCUGGAAAUGAAAGAUAUACUUAGAAAAAUACAAAAUGUACUGGAAAGUUUCAACAAUAGAAUCUAACAAGUAGAAGAAAGAACUUCAGAGCUUGGAGACAAGGCUUUUGAAUUAACCCAAUCAGACAAAGACAAACAAAAAUAAUCUUUAAAAAAGGCUAGAUGUGGUAGGUCAUGCCCAUAGUCCUAGUACUUUGGGAGGCUGAGACAGGCAGAUCACUUGAGCUUAGGAGUUCAAGACCAGCCUGGUCAACAUGGCAAAACUGUCUCUACUAAAAAUAUAAAACAUAGCUGGGUGUGGUGGCACAUGCCUGGAAUUCCAGCUACUCAGGUGGCUGAGGCAUGAGAAUUGCUUGAACCUGGGAGGCAGAUGUUGCAGUGAGCCAAGAUCAAAGCACUGCUCUAAAGCCUGGGUGAUAGAGUAAGACUCUGUCUUAAAAUAAAUAAAGCCUCCAAGAAAUUUGAAAUUAUGUUAAAUGGCCAAACCUAAGAACAAUUGGUAUUCUGAGGCAGAAGAAAAAUCUAAAAGUUUGGAAAAGAUCCUGGAUGAGGAGAGAUCCAAGAUGGCUGACCACUAGCAGCUCAGGCUUGUUGCUCCCAGUGAAAGCACAGAGAACAAGAGGACACCACACUUUCAGACGAAUCUUUCUUGCACAAGGACUAGGAGAUUCCCAGCAGAGGAGCCCUGCAGGUCGCCAGCAUGUCUCUUGCAGCCGGCUCUGCGGUUUUGCCGGUGCCCCAGCGCAGCAGUUCUUGGUGCAGAGUAAACGGGACUGGUUCCCCUUUUGGCUGAUGUUUGGAGCUGAUUGAAGAAGGGAUUCAGGAGGGAAGCCAGACGGGAGACUCCCAGACAGAAGAGCACCAAGAAUCUUGAUGCCGCUGUUUUAGCCAGCGCAGUGGGUUGCUCACAUUUCAACCCUGGGAAUUAACAAGUUGGACGUCCACUAAGAGACCUAAUUUAAAAGUUGGUAAUUACAAAGACGACAGGUGGAUAAAUUUACAACAAUGGUAAGAAACCAGCGUAAAAAGGCUGAGAAUACUCAAAAUCAGAAUGCCUCUCCCUCUAAAGAGGAUCACAGUUCCUCAUCAACAGGGGAACAAGGCCUGAUGGAAAAUGAGCGCAUUCCAAUAACAGAAUUAGGCUUCAGAAGAUGGAUAAUAAGAAACUUCUGUGAGUUAAAAGAACAUGUUCUAGCCCAAUGUAAAGAAACUAAGAACUUUGAAAAAAGAUUUGACAAAAUUCUAACGAGAAUAGACAAUUUAGAGAAGAAUAUAAGUGAAUUAAUGGAACUGAAGAAUGCUAUACGAGAACUCUGAGAAGUAUGCACACGUUUUAACACUCGAAUUGAUCAAGCAGAAGAAAGGAUAUCAGAGGUCGAAGACCAACUUAAUGAAAUGAAAUGAGAAGACAAGAUUAGAGAAGUAAAAGUAAAAAGGAAUGAGCAAAGCCUCCAGGAAAUAUGGGUCUAUGUGGAAAGACCUAAUUUACGUUUGAUAGGUGUACCUGAAUGUCAUGAAGAGAAUGAAUCCAAGCUGGAAAGUAUUCUUCAGGAUAUUAUUCAGGAAAACUUCCCUAACCUAGUAAGGUGGGACAAUACUCAUCUCCACAUAAUACAGAGAACACCACAAAGAUAUUCCUCAAGUAGAGCAACCCCAAGACACAUAAUUGUUAGAUUCACCAGGGUUGAAAUAAAAGAGAAAAUUCUAAGGGCAGCUAGAGAGAAAGGUCAGGUUACCCAUAAAGGGAAGCCUAUCAGACUUACAGCAGAUCUCUUAGCAGAAACCCUACAAGCUAGAAGAGAGUGGGGUUAAUAUUCAAUAUCCUCAAAGAAAAGAAUUUUCAACCCAGAAUCUCAUAUCCAGCCAAACUAAGCUUUAUAAAUGAAGGAAAAAUAAAAUUUUUCACGAACAAGCAAGCACUCAGAGAUUUCAUCACCACCAGGCCUGCUUUAUAAGAGCUUCUGAAAGAAGCACUACACACAGAAAGGAACAACCAGUAUCAGUCAUCCCAAAAACUUACCAAAAGAUAAAGAGUAUCUCCAUAAUGAAGUAUUUAUAUCAACUAAUGGGCAAAAUAGCCAGCCAGCAUUAAAUGACAAUAUUAAACUCACAAAUAUCAAUAUUAAUCCUGAAUUUAAAUGAAUUAGAUGCCCCAAUCAAAGACACAGACACAUAAACUGAAUUAAAAAGUCAAAACACAUCGGCACUCUGUAUCCAGAUCCAUCUCAUAAGCAAGGACAACAAAGACUCAAAACAAAAGGUUGGAGGAAGACUCACCAAUCAAAUGGAGAGGAAAGAAAAACAAAACAAACAAACAAAAAAAACAGGAGUUGUAACUUUCGUCUCUGACAAAAUAGACUACAAUAGUAACCAAGACUAAAAGAAACAAAGAAGGACAUUACAUAAUGAUAAAAAGAUCAAUGCAACAAUAGGAGUCAAUGAUCAUAAAUAUAUAUGUACCCAAUAUAGGGGCACCCAGAUAUAUAAGACAAGUUUUCAAUGACUUAUAAAGAGACUUGGACUCCCUUACUAAUAGUGGGAGACUUUGACACCACAUUGUUAAUAUUCGACAAAUCAAUUAGAUAGAAAAUUAACAGAGACAUUUAUGAUUUGAACUCAGACCUCGAACAAGUAAACUCAGUGAAUAUUUAUAGAAUUCUACACCCCAGGUCCACAGAACAUACAUUUUUUUGUAGUAUGACAUUACACCUAUUUUGAAAGUGACCACAUAAAUGGAAGCAAAUCACUCUUCAGCAUUUGCACAGCAUUUCACAGAUUUAAAUGAAAUAUUGGUUGGCUGUUUGUUAUUUUCUUUUCUUAUUCCUUCCUGUCUCUGCUGUUAAGCACAAUCAUCAGCAUAAAAGAGGUUUCUAAUACCUAUUUCUAGAUUGCAUUCCAGCCUGGGCAAUAGAGCAAGACUCCUGUUCUCUCUCCCCAUUUUCUCUUUCUCUUCCUUUCUUUAAAAAAAAAAAAAAGAUGCUGGAUGAAAUCAUCGAGGGAAACUUCCCUGGCCUUGCUAGAAAUCUAGACAUCAAAUACAAGAAGAUCAAUGAAAACCUGAGAAAUUUAUCACAAAAAGAUCAUCACCCAGGAACAUAGUGAUAAAGUUAUCUAAAGUCAAAACAAAAGAAAAAAUCUUAAGAACUGUGAGGCAAAAGUUUUGGGUAAGCUAUAAAGCAAAACCUAUCAGAUUAACAGCAAAUUUCUCAGUAGAAAUCCUACAAGCCAGAAAAGAUUGGAGUUUUAUGUUCAGCCUCUUCAAACAAAAUAAUUAACAACAAACAAACAAAGAAUGUUGUAUCCAGCAAAACUAAGCUUCAUAAAUGAAGGAGCAAUAAAGUCUUUUUUAGACAAAUAAAUGCUGAGAGUAUUUGCCACUACCAAGCCAACACUAUAGGAAAUGAUAAAAGGAGUUCUAAAUCUUGAAACAAACCUUAAAAUGCACCAAAAUAGAGCCUCCUUAAAGAUAAAUUUCACAGGGCCUAUAAAAUCAUAACACAAAGAAUAAAACAAAAAAAACAAGAUAUUCAGGCAACAACUAGCAUGAUGAAUAGAGUAGCACCUCUUAUCUCAAUACUAAUGUUAAAUGUAAAUGACCUAAAUGUUCCACUUAAAAGAUACAGAGUGGCAGAAUGGAUAGGAAUCUAUCAACUGCAUAUCUGCUGGCCUCAAGAAACUCACCUAACACAUAAGGAUUCACAUAAACUUAAGGUAAAUGGGUGGAAAAUGUUAUUCUAUGCAAAGGGACACCAAAAGAAAGCAGGAUUAUUAGCUAUUCUUAUAUUAGACAAAAGAGACUUUAAAGCAACAACAGUUAAAAAAGACAAAGAGGGACAUUAUAUGAUAAAAUAUUAGUCCAACAGGAAAAUAUCACAAUCCUAAAUAAAUGUGCACCUAACACUAAAGCUCCCAAAUUUAUAACAAUUACUGCCUGACCUAAGAAAUUAGAUAGAUGGCAACAUAAUAAAAAUGUGGGGAUUGAACACUCCACUGACAGCACUAGACAGGCCCUCAAGACAGAAAGUCAACAAAGAAACAAUGGGGCUUACACUAUAACCCAAAACAAAUGAACUUAGCCACUAUUUACAGAAUAUUCUCCCCAACAACUGCAAAAUAAACAUCUUUUCAUCAGCACAUGAAACAUUCUCCAAGAUAGAUGAUAUGAUAGGUUCCAAAACAAGUCUCAAUAAACUUAAGAAAAUCAAAAUUAUAUCAAUUAUCUUCUAAGACCACAGUUGAAUGACACUGGAAAUUAAUUCCAAAAGGAACCCUCAAAAUUAUACAAAUAUAUGAAAAAUAAAUAAUCUGAUCCUGAAUGAUCUUUGGGUAACAAUGAAAUCAAGAUGAAAAUUUAAAAAGUAUUUGAACUGAACAAGAAUAGUGACAGAGCACUAUUCUUGGGACACAGCAAAAGCACUGCUAAGAGGAAAGUUCAUAGUAAUAAAUGCUUACAUCAAAAAAUCUGAAAGAGCACAAAUAGACAAUCUAAGGUCACACCUCAAGGCGCUGGAGAAACAAGAACAAACCAAACCCAUACUCAGUAGAAGAAAAAAAAGUUCAGGCUGGGCAUGAUGGCUCACGCUUGUAAUCCCAACACUUUGGGAGGCCAAGGUAGGCGAAUCACAAGGUCAAGAGAUCGUGACCAUCCUGGCCAACAUGGUGAAACCCCAUCUUACUAAAAAAACAAAAAUAUUAGCUGGGCAUGGUGACAUGCGCCUGUAGUCCCAGCUACUCAGGAGGCUGAGCCAGGAGAAUUGCUUGAACCUGGGAGGCGGAGGUUGCAGUGAGCUGAGGUCAUGCCGCUAUACUCUAGCCUGGCACCUGGUGAUGGAAUGCGACUCUGUCUCAAAAAAAAAGAAAAAAAGGUUCAGCGCAGAACUAAAUAAAAUUAAACAAGAAAACAAAAAAAAAUACAAAAGAAAAAUGAAACAAAAGCUGGUUCUUUUAAAAGAUAAACAAAAUCAAUAGAUCAUUAGUGAGAUGAACCAAGAAAAGAAGAGAUAAGAUCAACAUAAGCUCAAUUAGAAAUGAAAUGGAAGACAUUAUAACAAAUAUCAUAGAAAUACAAAAGAUCAUUCAAGUCUGCUGUGAACACCUUUACAUGCACAACCUAGAAAAUCUAAGGAGAUGGAUAUAUUACUGGAAAUAUAUCACCCUCUUAGAUUAAAUUAGGUGGAAAUAGAAACUCUGACAGACCAAUAACAAGUAGCGAGAUUGAAACAGUAAUAAAAAAAAUUGCUAACAAAAAGUUUCAGGAUGAGAUGGAUUCACAGCUGAAUUCUAUGAGGCAUUCAAGGAAGAAUUGGUACCAGUAUUACUGAAACUAUUGCAAAAGAUAGAAAAAGCGAAUCCUCCUUUAAUCAUUUUAUGAAGCCAGUAUCACCCUAAUUCCAAAAUCAGGAAAUGGCAUAACAGAAAGAGAAAACUACAAACCAACAUCCCUGAUGAACAUAGAUGUAAAAAUCCUCAACAAAAUACUAGCUAACUGAAUCCAACAGCAUAUCAAAAAAUAAUCCACCAUGAUCAAGUGGGUUUCAUACCAGGGAUGCAGGACUGGAUUAACAAAAAUAAGUCAAUAAAUGUGAAACAUCACAUAAACAGAAUUAAAGACAAAUCAUAUGAUUAUCAUAAUAGAUGCAGAAAAAGCAUUUGACAAAAUCCAGCAUCCCUGUGUGAUUAAAAUCCUCAGCAAAAUUGGCAUAGACGGGAUAUGCAUCUUGGUAAUAAAAGCCAUCUAUUGCAAACCCACAGCCAACAUUUGACUGAAUGGAGAAAACUUUAAGGCAUUCCACCUGAGAACUGGAACAAGACAAGGAUGCCUACUUUUACCACUUCUAUUCAAAUAGUACUGAAAGUCCUUGCCAGAGAAAUCAGACAAGAGAAAGAAAUAAAGGGCAUCCAGACCAGUAAAGAAAAAGUCAAACUGUCACUGUUUGCCAAUAAUUUGAUCAUAUACCUAGGAAACCCUAAAGACUCAUUCAAAAAGCUUCAAGAUCUGAUAAAUGAAUUCAGUAAAGUUUCAGAAUACAAAAUUAAUGCACACAAAUUAGUAGCACUGCUAUAUACCAACAACUACCAACCUGAGAAUAGAAUCAGAAACUCAGCCCAUUUUACAACAGUUGCAAAAAAAAUAAAAUACUAAGAAAAAAACCAAGGAGGUGAAAGAUCCAUACAAAAACAACUACAAAACAUUGAUGAAAGAAAUCACAGAUGAUACCAAGAAAUAGACACACUGAAUGCUCAUGAUUGGGUAGAAUCAACAUUGUGAAAAUGGCCAUACUGACAAAAGCCAUCUACAAAGUCAAUGCUAUUCCCAUCUAAAUAUCAUCACCAUUCUUUAUAGAACUAGAAAAAAACAUUCUAAAAUUUGUAUGGAACCAAAGAAGACCCCACAUAGCCAAAGUAAGACAAAGCAAAAAGAACAAAUUUGGAGGCAUCACAUUACUCAACUUCAAACUAUACCACAGGGCUUUGGUUACCAAAACAGCAUGUUACUGGUAAAAAUAUAGGCACAUAGAACAAUGGAGCAGAAUAGUAAACCCAGAAAUAAAGCCAAAUACCAACAACCAACUGACUUUCAAGAAAGCAAACAAAAGCAUAACAUGAGGAAAUCACACCCUAUUUAACAAAUAGUGCUGGAAUAAUUGGCAACCCACAUGUAGAAGAAUGAAACCUUACCUUAUAUGAAAAUCAACUCAAGAUGGAUCAAAGACUUCAAUCUAAGACCUGAAACUGCAAAAAUUACGGAAGAUAACAUUGGAAAAACUCUUCUAGACAUUGAUUUAGGCAAAGAGUUCAUGACCAAGAAUCCAAAACUAAGAGCAACAAAAACAAAGAUAAGUAGAUCAGACAUAAUUAAAUUAAAAAGCUUCUGCACAGCAAAAAAAAAAAAAAAAAAAAAAAAAAUAGAAGAAUAAACAGACAACCCACAAAGUAGGAGAAUAUUGUCUCAAUCUGUGCACCUGACAAAAGACUAAUAUCCAGAAUCUACAAGGAACUCAAAUAAAUCAGCAAGAAAAAAAAUAAUAACCCCAUCAAAGAAUCAAAGAGUGGGCAAAGGACAUGAAUAAACAAUUAUUAAAAGAAGAUAUACAAAUGGUCAACAAACAAAUGAAAAAGGGCUCAACAUCACUAAUUUUCAGGGAAAUGCAAAUUAAAACCACAGUGAACUGCCACCUUACUCCUAUCAGACUGGCCAUAAUUAAAAAAUAAUAAUAAAAUAGUGGAUAUUGACAUGAGUUUGGUGAAAAGGGAGCACUCCUACACUGCUUGUGGGAAUGUAAAACUAGUAUAACCACUAUGGGAAACAGUAUGAAGAUUCCUGUAGAACAACCAUUUGACCCAACAGCCCUGCUACUGGUUAUCUAUGAAGAGGAAUAAAGGGCAUUAUAUGCAAAGGACAUUUGCAUGCAUGUUUAUGGCAGCACAAUUCACAAUUCACAAUUGCAAAAACAUGGAACCAGCCUAAAUGCUCAUCAACCAACAAGUGAAUAAAGUAAAUAUGGUAUGUAAGUAUACACACACACACACACACAUAUAUGUAUGCAUACAUAUAUAUGUAUAUAUAUACACAUAUAUAUGUCACCCCAUUUGUGUGACUGACACCCUUUUCCUUUUGAUACCCUUUACUUCCUUUACUUCCCUUUGAGGCCCUCAGUAACAGUUAAGAUUUUAUGGUUGCAAGCAUUAGAAAAGACUCUAAUUUAAAUAAAAAACAAUUGUUUGGAAUAUAAAUAUACAUGAGAACAUAAGGGAGUGAUAUAAGAAACCUUCAUUAGAAAGAUAUGAAAAACCGACAAAGCAUGAGGGAUGCUUGCUGAACAAACAUGGGAAGAACAGGUACAGGGAGAGCCUCAGUGAUCCAUGUAUCAGGAACUAAUAAAUAGAUAUUUUAGGGAAUGGCUGAUUGCUGGGAUGAGGCAGUUUCUAUUCUUCAUCAGCCUUUUGUAAUUCUGGGAAAAAGAUCUGAUUGGCCUAGAUUGGAUCACAUGUUCCCUAUUGGCCAGGGAAAGGCAGAAAACCUUGACUGACAAACGGAAUCAAUCAGUUAUUGCAGUGUAACAAACCACUCCAAAACUCAAUGGCUUUAAAUCAUGCUAAUUUAUUUCCCACCUGCAGUUUGGCUGGUGAACUGUUGUUGUAAGCUGGGCCCAGGUGUGUGGCUCUGCUUAAGGAUGUGGGGCAGAUGGGAAAGGUGUGCUAUCCAUACACAUUCCUUCUGGGUCCCAGGCAGCAUCGUGGUGGCUACAUGGGAGAGGCUUUUCCUAUGGAAAAGUAUAAGAGUGGAAGCACAUUUGAAGCCUCUGCUUGCAUCACGCCUCUUGGUACCCCACCGGCCAAAAUACACUGCUUUUUGUGGGAAUGAUGGCAGAAUCAGCUGAUAAAGGAAAUAGAUGGAAGAACAUGUGAAGAAAGGAAGACAAUAAUUAAAGUGGGGCAAUUAUGCAAGAAUCAGAUAAAUAAUUACCCCCCAAAAAAUCACAUAUAUAUAUUUUUUAACAUGAAAAGGAUUCUUGGUGGUAAAGAAAUGAGGUCAACAAAUGCCCAGAUCCUGAAAGGCCUUGUUCUCACCUGGCUCUUAUGAACGGCAACUUUAGGUGGUUCCUCUCAUGGCACUUUCAUAUACCAAUAAAACACCAAGAGCCAUGAAUAUAAUCUUCAUGGAAAGGAUGUGACAAGUAUCUUUAAGGUAAAAGUAGACCUGGUCAGAUCAGAGCUAUAUAAUAUAGCUAUAUAAAAUAUAUAUCACAGUUACGUCAAAGUAAUGCAUCUAUUUUUAGGAGUAGCCCUGAAAAUGAUUGUGAUUACAGUAUAUUAAGACAGAAAAAUCAUAUAGGAGGAGGGAUUGUUGCUGUUACUUGCUGUACGAUAAUCCUUGACCAUCCAAGCAACUGAUAAACUAGUCCAGAGCAACAAGUUCAUAAACUAGUCCAGAGCAACAAGCAAUAUGUGUCUUUAUUUGAGGUUUACGAAAUACAAUCAUGUCAAGAAAGGACAGAGUUCUCUGGCUCUCUCUGUUGCUCAGUUCAGCACUAGCCAUUUCUGAAGCAUUAUUCUAGUGGAUAGCAGUGAGUGUUCCUGUUUUAUAAUACACCCUGCCUGCGAAAUACUGAUGAAACAUGAAGGACAUGCUAAUUUAGCAAAUCAAAAGGUCUCCUGAUGCUGGUACUUAAACCUAGACUGGGGUGGCUAAAUAAAACCAUAUAUUCAGAUUCUAGGGCUUUAUUUGUGAGGGUUCUCAUUAAGUAUGUCUUUGUUGAAGCCCUACUUUCUAUUUCUGUUGUGAAACUCCAGAGUGUUCAAGAGAGUCUAAGGUUUAUGCAGGUUUAGAAUCUACCUAGUCUGGUGCUUUAUCUGACAUGAACAAAAGGACACCCAGAGUGAAUGAUGGUGUAGCUUUCUUCCCAGUGUCACACAGCGGGUUUGCCUUGAGUCAGAACUUAGACUAGGACCUGAUCUCCUGUCUCUCAGCCCAGUGCGUAUUUCCCUACACCCUACUGUCUCCUUCAUGUGAAUACACAGAGGUAUCAUGCUGAUCUCAAUUUCUGGAGUAUGAACAUCAUCCCUUCCACAUUUAGGAACCUUAAUUCUCUUCACCCUAAAGCACAUAUAGCUUCAGAUAUGUUUGCAUAUUUAUAUCAAUCUAAUUGCUCAAGAGUCAAUCUAGUCAAUUAGCCUUUGGUUACUGAAAGAGUGAUUUAAAACUAUUUUUAAAUGAAACCUGUGAAUCCUUUGCCAUAUAGGCAGAAAGUAAGAAGUCAACAGGCACUAUGAUGACAGAGACAGCAGCAGGUCCAGGGAAAAAAGACUUACGGAGUGAAAUCAUCAACCUUCAAGGGAAUGUGAAUUGAAAGCCAAGACUGUUAGUAAAAAGAAAAACAUAUAAAGUAGAGGAAAGAAGAACAGAGGGGCAUGGGCAUGAGGUGGGAGUGCAGAGGGCUUGAAUUGGCUUAGACAGCCCAUCUCUCAGCAGGUCAGCACUCACAGGUUGGCACACAGGAUAAGAUAGGGUGAGAGACAGCCACCGAAAAGAAAGAAAAUGCUCUUUGGGAAGGGAAGAUAUGCUUAAAAUUAAACACAGGGGAGGAAAAGUGUGUUUAGAGUUUUCUGAGAUGAGAUUCAAGGCUGAAGUCAUAGUUUGGCAGAUAAACCAAAGAAAUUUGGUUUCCCUUGGAAAGAUUUAUGUCUUCUAGGGUUGAGAAAUAUGUCUGGCUGCCAAUAUUUCAUAGAGCAACACAGAAAGAAAUACUACCUACUUUAGUGUUUGGCUUGGGACUUUUCACCUUUGUUUGGCAAGAUAUUUUUCAUUUUGAAAGAGGGAGUGAGAACUAUUCAUGUCAGCUCCCUAUGAAGAUCUCAAAUCUCUUUGCCUAAGUUAUCUAAUGGUUCAUAAUGUUUAACUUACCUAUAUAUAAAUAUUUUAAAUGGUAGAUUAAAUUAACAGAACCUGUAAAACUCAUAACCUUUCUGUUCCAAAAUUCUUUGAGAUAACAUUGCCAUCAAACAGAACUGAAAGAAAUGUAAUGAAGCCCUUUGGGAAUUUCAUGUAGUAGUUGGAAACCACAAAAUGUAGGUCCAGUUCUGCCAUUUGCUAUUUUUAUGACCUUGAGGAGUUACUCAACCUCAUUGUGCCACCGAUUUCUUAUCUAUUAUGUGGAGUUUAUGAAAGAAUUUACUUCACGGAGUUGUGGAGAGUAUUGAAUGACUUAAGCUCUUAGGACAAUGCUUGGCACUCAAAAAGGAUUAAUUGUUAUUACCACAUUUUUUUGGAAUUUCUGAGAUAUCUCAAUUUCAACUAUUUUUUUUUUUUUUUUUUUUUUGAGAUGGAGUUUCGCUCUUGUUGCCCAGGCUGGAGUGCAAUGGUGUGAUCUCGGCUCACUGCAACCUCCGCCUCCUGGGUUCAAGCAAUUCUCCUGCCUCAGCCUCCUUAGUAGCUACUACAGGCAUGCACCACCAUGCCCAGCUAAUUUUUGUAUUUUAGUAGAAACGGGUUUCAUCAUGUUGACCAGGAUGGUCUCGAUCUCUUGACCUUGUGAUCCACCCACCUCGGCCUCCCAAAGUACUGGGAUUACAGGCAUGAGCUACUGCGCCCGGCCAAUUUCAACUAUUCUUUAUUACUAUAGUCAUAUUAUCAUGAGAAUACUCUAAAAUGACAACUAGCUACAUUUUUGUAUUAUCUUUUCUACGUGGAAGUGGCAGCAAAGUUUUUCUUUUAUUUUUAAAUCAGGUUAUGUGUCUUUAUUUGAGGUUUACGAAAUACAAUCAUGUCAAGAAAGGACAGAGUUCAGCCAAUGUUCCUGAGUGCUGUGAGAGAUGGGAAGCAAUGGAGAGGAAAAUUUCUUCCAGUCUUCUCCAGCUCCAAACCAUGUCAGCCACACUGUUGUAACUGCUAUGAAUUAUCACCGGCGCUUACCAACUCAGAGUUUCAUGUCCCUGUUUUCCUAUUCAGAGAGACAUUUUCUCCAGGCAUAGUCAUCCAAAUACACUGGCCAUAAUCUCCCCCAUAACUUGUUUGCCAGUAUAUCUUCCCUUCUCCUUCUGCCUUUCUCUCCUGUCCUUUCCCAGGCCUUCUCCCUCUUCCUUUUUGCCAAUGUCUCACCUUUCCUCCCUCCCUCCUUUCCUACUUCUUAAAGUCUUUGUGUCUCUACUGUCCUCCAGGCACUAUGUUGUUCUGUUCUCAAUUCCCCAACCUUAACCUAUAUCCAAGUAUUAUCUAGACAGAUGCUGAUUUCUUUGCUUUUCCUUCUGCCUUCUCUUUAUCUUCCUUUGUGCCUUCAGUGUCCUGUCACCCAUCUCUUCUGCUUUGUUCUGCUUCUAGCUCUUUCUCAACCAUCUUUACUAUUACAUAGAGCACAUGGAAUAAUGGAAAUGUAGUCAAUAGAUGGAGCUUGAACUAUAGGUAGGCAAUCUAGGCUCUCCUCCUGGUUCUUUUAUUUGCUGUCUAAGUGACCAUAAAUAAGGCACUUAAUCCAGCAAAGUUUGCAUCUCCACCUAUGUACACCAUGUGCUCUGAGUGCUCAUGCUCAUAUGAGGCAGUAUAAAUCAGGCAGCAAGUUUAACUUCUGUAAAUUCCUACUUACUUAAUGACACUAUUGCCACCUUCUCCCUGGCAGUCUACAUAUCCUACUCGUUUUCAGCCUAUAAAUGUCAUAGCUUUUACUUUCAACUAUGUAAUCCUUCCUGUUGGUCAUUAUUUCACCCCUGAUCCUUUUCUCCCAACCUCAACUCCUCCUUCUUCCUUUAUAUGCUGUUUACACCAAUAAUUCUAAAUCACUCAGAGUUUGCCACAUGUGACAGGCUGCUUCUCAUCCCGUGACCUCUCCUGAGCUGUUCUUGAUGCCUUGCAUCUUUCUGGUAAACAUUUAUUACACCUCAAAACUUAGCUAUUCUUUAUUAUGUAAAAUCCUCUCUGUGAGAGGCAUCUAUUUCUAUAAUUUUCAUUUUUCAUUCAAAAUUGUUCAUGUUCAUAUCUGUCACUCCUAUUACACUUUGACCUUCUUGGAAGAGGCCUUGGCAACCUCACAUCCUAGGAAAGUGCUGGCACAUUCUUUCUAUGUCUCAAAAGCAAUUGUUGAAUUGAACUCUCUCCUUUUUUAAUUAUGUGAAUGUAGACUUACACUAAUUUUGCAAUUCUACAACUUGGAUUCAAGCUCCAGUCAUCUAUGGAUUUUGGAUAUCUGACCUUGACAAUGUCAUGUAAGCUCUAAGAGAGUCAGUUUUCUUACAUAUAUAUGGGGGGCAAUGACAACUUCUGUUUAUUGAAUGAUCACUAUUUGUCAGAGUUGCAUAUUUGCCUAUUUAUCUUUUCACAUUUAAUUUUUACAUCUACCCUAUGAUGUACCUAUUAUUAUUCCCGUUUUACAAAUGUGAAACCCAGGGCUAGAAACUCAAAAACUAAAAUAGCCUCAGAACUGGAAUCCUUGCCUCCACUCUCACUGUUCAUCAAUCUACUUUGUUGGAAUAUUAAUGGUGAUCUUCUAAAAUCAUCAAUACUGUCAUACCCUUUGCAACCCCCACCCCUGCAGUGGUUUAACUGCAUAGAGAAAAAUCUAAUCUAAAUGUCCUCUUAUGUCUUAUAAGCCCCACAGGAUCUAUCCACUAAUUACCUCUUUGAAUUUAUCACACACUCUGUUCCCCUUCUUUCCCAGCACUCAGGGGCAUUAGCUGAAUUGCUUUUCCUGGCCCAGGUAAGCACUUCCCUGCCACAGGACAUUUGCAUUUUCAGUUUUUUUCUUCUGGGAGCAUUCUUCCAAUCGAUCUUUCAUGGCUGGCCCCAUCUUCUCAUCUAUCUUAGCUCAAAUGCUGCCUCCUUAGCUUUUCCUGAAACCCCAUCCCAUUUAGCCAGGCUUUAUUACUCUUUUUCAUAGCCAUAUUUGAUUUUUGAGAGCCCUUAUCAAUCUAAAAUCAUCAUUUACUUAUUUAUUGCCUGUCUUCUAUAUUCUCAGUGCACAGCAUAGCAGAUUCAACACAUCUUUGUUAAAGGAAUGGACUGUCCAGAGUAAGUUCAGAUAAGAGGAUGGAACAGUAUUUGAACCCAAGACUGUCUGACUCUAAAGUCCAUGUGCUUAACCACUGCAUUCAUUCCCUGCCUCAGCCAUUAAAAUACUGAAAAGAAACAGUAGGCUAACAUGAGGGCAUGGUUUGUAAACUCCAAGGGUUAUAUCAGUGUGAACGUGCAGUUUUGGCACUCUCUCCUCUGCUGGAUGCCAUGUGCUCUCAGAGUGACAAUGUCCUCUGCUGGAUGCCACAUGCUCUCAGAGUGACAAUGUCCUCUGCUGGAUGCCACAUGCUCUCAGAGUGACAAUGUUAGGGAAAAAAGGAUGUUGUCUACAAUAAAUUCUUCAGCUGACAUUCCUUUAAGACUAUGGUGACAUCUGUGAGAAGCUCUUCUCUUUUCUUCCCAUAUUAGACUAGACCCUUGCCAAUCCUACCUUGCCUUCUACACUCUUUACCUUGCCUUUCUUGCUGCCAUUAAAGAAAGAUAUACUGAAAAUCUCCCAUUUAUUCUUAAUUAGCUGACUUAACACACUCUAUUUUUAUGGCGAUUUUAGGCCUCUGUUUAAUUCCUAACUAUGCCUCCACAGGACUUGCAGUAACAAAAUCCAAAUUAUUUCUAGAAUUAACUAACUUCCAUUAUAGAUUGGAAAUAAAACUGAGGUAGGUUUGUUCACCUGAAAUCAACACUUAAAUCAUACAGCCAGUUAACAGCAAAGUGAAAACUUGUGUCCUCCAAUGCUUGUUUUCUAAAAUUUGUUGACUUAAUUUUUUUUAAUUGUUGAUAGAGUAUCAUUAUAUAAAUUUCCAAUGUGAUUAUGCUUUAGUGCAAAAAACUCUUUACAUCCAACCCAAAGUGAAUGUUUAUUCUAUGGUGUACAAAUAAGGUAGUAACCGCUAUAUUUUAUCUUUGUAUUAGUAAAGCCCCCAAACUUCAAAGGCAAAUAAUUUGUUUCAAUAUCACUGGCAUAAAUUAAUUUCCCAUGCACUGCAUUCCUUUGAACUCUUAAUCUACAAUCAGCAUCAUUUUAGGAUUUGCUAAGAUCAAAAGUCUGUCUAGAACAAUUAGCUUGAUUUAGUCAUUCUCCAAUGUAUGUACAUAUACCAAAACCUCAUGUUGUUAUAUAUUAUACAGUAAAUAUAUACAAUAUUAAUUUGUCAACUGAAAAUAAAUAAACAGAAGUCUCUAGAACCACCCAAUAUGUAGAUAUUUGAAGAAUUCUGUUGUUUUUCCAAGUAAAACAUAGAGUAUAUAUCUGAAACCUAGUAAUUGCAAAAGUUACGUUUUGUUUAUUUUUAAAUUGUAAAUAUGUAUUUUGGAAGUAGGCUGCAGCUUCUUUAUGCUUGAUUAUUUUGAAUCUGCCCCGCUGGUGUCUCAUCAUGCAAGGAUGAAAAACUGAAAUGAAGAUGAUAUAGCUAAUGCACAGAGUAUUAUUCUUUAGGGAUACAAUUGUCUUAGCAAUUAGAUCAUAGAAAUUAAAAUACGAUUUGUGAUGUUUUCCUGAAUGCCUAAAUCAUUUUUUCUUGUUGUUGUUCAAAGAAAACAAGUUCUUAGUCAUACAACAAAUAGAAUGAGUGGUGGGAACUGAAAAGGAGGAAGGCACAAUUGCCUGGUCUUCUAUGUCUCUUUUCAAGAUGGUUUUCCUGGUGCUGGUAUACAUAUCAGCCUACAUAUACACACCGUACUUUCCACAAGUACUCAAGUUUUAAGCUUCUCUAAACUGCUUCCUUACAAUAAAUUUUUUAAAACUCCCCCUCUCCAUCAUUUUUAGUCAAAGAAAACAGUUUCUUCCCUCUAUAGAAAGUAGAUUCUAAAGUUGGAGUUGUAGAUCAUUGCUAUUACCAACACAUAAUGCCAUUUGGAGCACAUUAACCCUAGAAGUUUUCCAAGUUUACAGUGUCUACUUGAAUUUUUUCAGUGAAUAUUUGUCAUUUCAUUCAAGAGAAGGCCUAUCGGUAGUCAUUUAGUCAAAACUACCGCAGUGAUUGCUACUUGUACAGAAAAUUAUAAAGCUGCCACAGGAGUCAAGCCACGAUUACCAAGUUGAAAUAGGCACUGCUUUUUGUUAAGUAUUGGGUAAGAAUGAAGCCUUAAAUUUGGAGGAAACUGAAGAUCAUUCUUUGGUCAGAACCACAUUUUCCAGUUUUCAUUUUCUCUGUUUUAUUUACACAAAAAUACAUGAUGAAAUUUCAUAGAAAGCACCUAUGAAGAACACCCACAUUAUGAUUCUUGCAUUCUAAUAAAAGUCUUAUUCUAGCUUUGGGGCCCCGAAAAUGUCUUUUUGUAAACAUUUGAAAAGCAUAAAAAAGAAUAUUGAAAAACAUUAACUGUGAUUUUUUAUGCCUCAUCAUGAUUUCACAUAUGUCAACUAUCCAAUGAAAACAAUAUAUUGAGAUGAUUGUGACAUAUUCAAUCCUACUACGUUCACCAGAGCUUAUUGGGAGGCAAGUUAGCAUGGAAAUAACUGCUUUGUUGGAGAGAAAGCCUUGUUUCAAGUUUAAAACUCUAUAAAUUAAGCUUUUAUUUAUACAAUUCUGUCUUACUUUCAUUGUCUCUAAUAGACCAUAAAGCUUAGUAUAUUGCUAACUAUAGAAAUGACCCCUCAGAGACUAGUUGGAUGUGUAUACUGAAGAAAGUAAACACAGUUUCUUAAAGGGCAAUACAAUGAGGUCAUACUUUGCAAAGAGAUUGUAAUAAAGAUAGUUUUAUACUACCUAUUUAUUUUCCUUUCCAAUAACAUUCUGUGAAAAAUGAACUCUACUUUUAAGUUAUAAGAUAGCUUUUGCAAAUGCUGAUUUUUAAAAAGGGUCCAAAUUACUGCCUACAAGGGAAGAAUUCAGCCUACAAGGGAAGAAUUCAGCCUACAAUGAUCAUUAAUACAUGAUUAAAACUAGAUCUUCUCAUAGCAAAGUAUAUUUUAUUUUCUGUUUGGAAAUAAAGCAUAGAAGAUUCUGUAGUUGCCUCACAUUGGCAAGAGACAAGAAGUUUUAAAUCUGUGGCCUCUCUUUUUAAGUGGUGAAAGAUGACAUGAGUGGGUAGAUUUUGGAGGGCUAACCCACUCUGAAGUGAUCCGAGUGUGUUGACAGAACCUUACUAAUUCACUUCCCUGAGAUCAGCAAUAAACAAGACUUCCUGUAGAGCACGUUUAACCACCACAAGAAAGGAUUCAUUUCUGGUUGGAAACCAUCAUAAAAUGUUUCUUGUCCAAGUUUAAAUAUAGUUCUUCAGGGUUUAAGGCCACAUUGCUAAAAUUUGGUCCCUGUGAAUUUUCCUGCAUCAGUAAAGAAGCUAUCUGUAUCCAUCAUUUUGAAGAUAGGAGUACCUUUAUUUGAUAUGUGGAACAGGAGCUGGAAAAUAGAUUCACACUUACCCCAGGCUUACCAAGCUGAUCGGAAAGCAGGAACCUACAGUUCAGCUAUGUUGAAGAAAUAUUUGUCAAGAUUGUAGUUCACUCAGACCAGAAGUUAUAUACAGGGAGAACAGCUAAAUCAGGAAGGAGCAUGUAAGGAUUGUAUAGUUUGAUAUGCUAGGUGUUAAAUACUCAAAAUCAGCCAAGUGGAGAAAGCAAAAUGGAAGCAUCACUGCAGUGCUGAGAGUUAUUAGAGCUGUAUUCAAACCCCAGUUUUGCCUUUUUCUGACUAUGAGACUGAGCAACUGUGUUUGUAUAAUUUGUUUAAAAUACGAGCUUUUCACACCUGUUAGCCCGGCACUUUCGGAGGCCAAGGCAGGUGGAUCAGAAGGUCAGGAGAUUGAGACCAUCCUGGCAAACAUAGUGAAACCUUGUUUCUACUAAAAAUACAAAAAUUAGCCGGGCAUGGUGGCGUCCGCCUGUAGUCACAGUUACUCAGUAGGCUGAAGCAGGAGUAUCACUUGAAACCAGGAGGCGGAGGUUGCAGUGAGCCAAGAUUGCACCACUGCACUCCAGCCUGGUCAACAGAGCGAGACUCUGUCUAUAAAUAAGUCAUCUCUUCAGAGGUUCUGUUCAGGAGUUCCCACUGCAGGCACUAAUUUCAGGCUUGGCCAUAUGACUGGCUUAGAUAAGUGAAUAUGAGUAAAGGUGACAAAAACCAAGUCCAAAAAGAAGAUUUAAGAAUCAAUCCAUGAUUUUUUUUUCACUGUUCUUUUCCCCCUGCUAUGAAAACAGCAUUUUGCAGAGAGGGUCAACUCCUUCAGCCUGGAUCUCAGAGUAAAGGUGCCUUGUGCAAAGUGCCAGGACCAAACCACAGACCUACAAAUGAUAUUUAUUAUGAGCUUGUCUUGUUGGCAACUGAAAUUUGGGGUUAUUUGUUACCACAGCAUAAUUUGCCAAAACUAAUACAAAAAGUUACAUAAAUCUCUCUAUGUCUCAGAUUCCUUAUCUGUGAAAUCAGAGUAAGGUUACUGUGAAGAGGAAAUAGGGUGACAUUUGGAUAUUUAGCAUUUCCUUAGCAAUAUCUAGCAAUUAGUGAUCAUUGUUAUUCAAUGGCCCUGGAUGAAAAUCUGUAAAACAAAGCAUAAGGAAUUCAGAAGAAGGACUAAACAGGAAUUGACAAAAACCACAAGGCUAAGGGUCUAUACAACUAGAUAUUGGAAUUUGGCUAGAGACAUGAGUAACAGAUUCUUGGGGGUGAGGUAGAGGUAGAUAGGAGCAGCAUAUAUGACAUUUGGUCAUGGCUGACACUUUCUGUGGCACAUGUUUUAUAAAGGCUUCCAAUGGAGACCAAAUUCAUCUGAGUACAUAGUCAGAUCCAAGCUGCAGUGGGGACAAAUACAUAGAUGGGUUAUUAGGAGUUACUGAAAUGAGGUUUGUAUGAAGCACAUUGUUCUAAAACAAACUCCCUUGUUUGUUCCUAAACAGAUUUUUUCCCACUGUUAGGUUAUAUGAGCACAUUAUGGAUAGGUCUAAAAUUUACAAUGACAAAAUUCUUUCCUUUUGGCUUGAGGUCUACAGUUUCUAUAAAAGCUAUAUCAUUUAUGUGGCUAAAAUUAUUUUUUAGACAGAGAAUGAACCCUAAACAGAUAUUAAAUCUGUUAAGACUGAAACUUAUAUUCUUACAAUGAUAGAGUUGGUUUUGAUGAGCAGUGAAAAAGCAUAAUGUUGCUACUGUUGCUGCAUUAGCCAUAUGAGUUUCUGCCCAUAGACUGGAGGAGGAAAUCGAUCAAUUAUUUGUCCUUAAUAUAGAACAUCAAGAGAAGUUCAACUGGGCCUAACUUGUUACGUCAAGGUAGAUGCACCCUACUACUAGAAUGGUUUGUGGAGCCAGACACCCAGUGCCAGGAGUCCAAACCACCAUUCAUUCAAUAUAUAGCAAUAUUGACAUCACAUUAGAAUCACCUGGGCAAUUAAAAUUUAGGCACUACUUAUAAUUAAAAACAAUCUGGAGGUGGAGAACAGCAAUCACAAUUUUAAAACAAAACUCAUCAGAUGAUUCCAGCAUGCAACCAAGUUUGAGGACCAUUGAGUAAGAGGUAGAGAAGUCCAAGGGUAAGGAGAGGCCUGUAGAGAGAAGUAGCUGACAAACCAGGAUAUACAGAGAAGUGGAAAUGGAGAAGGCUGACCAGUGCCUGUCAGACUUCAACAUGCAUAAAAAUCACCAAGGGAGCGGGAGGGAUCUUCUUAAAAUACAGAUUCGGAUUUAGUAGGACUGUGGGAGAAACUGAGAAUCUACAUUUCUAGCAAACUCCCAGGUAAUGCAAUGCUUCCAGUCCAACUGGACUACAGUUGGAGUAGCAAGAAACUAGAGUAGACAAGUAUGAGUGGUUCCAAGUGAAUCCUAGACUAGUAAUGCCUGAGUGCCCACUUUGAGUUUGUAUGGGCAAGCUAGAGUUAGUUAAAAAGACCAGAACAGAAUUGGAUAAAAAAAUGAUGGCAUGUGCCAGUAGGAAGACUAUAGUGAUUCCUCAUAUAUGACUGCUGCCAUAGCUUGAAUUUAUCCUGGCAGUCUUGUCAGAAGACAAAGAACUGGAGUUGAGUUGCCUUGUAUUAGAUGGCACACAUGGGGCUAGAAAUUAAAUGCAGAGAUAUGAGCCUUCUGAAGUAGUAAAAGAUAGGUGCUUGAUAAAGAUCUUUCUCUCAGAUAGAGAAAAAGUCUAUGCAGCAUAGUAGCAGUGAUAGGUGACAAUGGCACAAACCAAUUCAGAAAGCAAAAUUAAAUGGUUUUAAAUGGUAUUUUCAAAAUCCCUGAUGUUCCCAAGCCAUUUUAUUUAGCAUUCAGACAUGAUAAUAAAGUACAUUGAAUCACAUAGUGAUAAUAUUUCCUUUUUACCUUUCUUUCAAUCCUUCUGGUCAACUUAAAGGGAAACAAGUAUUAGCUAAGGAUUGUAUGUCUUUCGCACCUUCAGUGCCUGCUAAUUACCCACUUUAACAACAACAAAAAGAACAAUCCUCAAGCUCAAAACUCCAACGGGCAAAUGUUUUGGUUAUUUUUAUUCCAGUUUUAUUUGUCAAUGCUCUCUACUUCCAGCAAGUGAUACUUUUUUUCAUUUCUGUUAGUAAUAUAUACUUUUCCUUCAACAUAAAUUUAAGUAAACAAAGUUAAUUUCCUUAAGUAAAAUAUUAGUGCUACUACAAUCUUAUGCAGAUAUGACAAAAAUCAUAAAGGUAGUAUUUGAAUUGCUGAAGUUUGAAAAAUACAGCUUAGAACAAACCAGAAGCUAGAUUAAAAUCUGUGCUGUUUAGAAGUAUAGGCCCUCACAAAAUAUUUGCAUUGAUUUAUUUAGUGAAAACCACACAUAAUAUAGGCUUAUAAAGGCAAAAACAAUUUAAUCAACAAAUAUUUACUGAAACAAAAGAGCAAUUUUUAAAAUUCAAAAUGUUUUACUUGUUUUGUCUUUUUUGUUCUGCAUGUGAACAGUUCUGUGGGUUGACAUCAAAUAAUUUACUAAUGAAAAGAUUCAGCAAAUAUAAGAAGUGUUUUCCAACGUGUUUCUUUUAUUUUGAGAUCCUGUGUACAUUUAAAAAAGAAAAGUCAACUUACUUUUCUUUACUAUGUUAUUCAAAUUAGUGGUUUCUUUCUCUUAAUUCUUUAGCCUCUCAUCAUCAAGCAUUUUCAUAGCUGCUUUUCUGAUAUAUAUGAUAUAUACCUUUACCUAGUGACUUAGCAAGCCAUCUACCAUGUGGUUUUGAGAACUUGCCUUGUCAUGUUAAACAUAAAUGCAAAAAAUAAGUUACAGAUUCUUGGGUUAGAAAAUUCCAUAAGAAACGAUUUUCUGCUCCUAUAUACAUUCAAUCACUGGACUGUUUUUUUUUUUUUUUUUCCUUAACUUUUAGUUCCUAUUGUCACACAUAUUGUACCAAAAAAUUUACAUAAUUGUACAGUUUAUUCAACUCCCCAAUCUUUACCUCUGAAGAUUUGUUUUAUAUCAGAAGGAUUUUACCUAGAGUAAUUUUAACACAUGAAUCUUCCAGGCCCUACCUCUUCCAUCGGCUUAUUUGAUGGUAAUGGAGAUGUGGAUUAGUAAAAAGACAGAACUCUCACAAGAUGGGGACCUAUUUCCCUUGAAGAUGGGGGGAACUCAGCAGUCUGGACACAUUAGGCAGGCUAGUGGGGUGGGCUCACCACAACCAUUAGCAGGCAUCGAUUUGCCUGAGGAUGUUGUUGAUAGGAAUAGUUAAGAGUUGGAGUCAGAGUAUGUUAUUGCUAACAUAACAAAUCACAUGAACUUGUUGGCUUAAAACAAAGUGAUCUUUUUUUUUUUUUUGAGACGGAGUUUCGUUCUUGUUACCCAGGCUGGGGUGCAAUGGCGCGAUCUCGGCUCACCGCAACCUCCGCCUCCUGGGUUCAGGCAAUUCUCCUGCCUCAGCCUCCUGAGUGGUUGGGAUUACAGGCACGCGCCACCAUGCCCAGCUAAUUUUUUGUAUUUUUAGUAGAGACGGGGUUUCACCAUGUUGACCAGCAUGGUCUCGAUCUGUUGACCUCUUGAUCCACCUGCCCCGGCCUCCCAAAGUGCUGGGAUUACAGGCUUGAGCCACCGCGCCCGGCCCAAAUUGAUCUUAUAGUUCUGAAGUCAACAGUCUGAAAUGGGUCUGACAUGGGUAAAGCCAAGGUAUUUGGCAAUGCUCUGUUCCCCUGGAAGCUCUAGGAGGGAUUUUUUCCCUUUGCCUUUUCCAGCUUCUAGAUGCUGCCCUCAUUCUUUGGCUUAUGGCCCCCUUCCAUCUGCAAAGAGGGCAUUUUUUUUUUUCAGUCCAAUCUCUGUGUUCAUCCUCACAUUUCCUUCUCUGACUAUGCCUCUUCUGCCUCCUCAUUCAUGUUUACUGGCCUAUCUAGAUAAUCGUGGAUAAUCCCAAUUUAAGGUCAGCUGAUCAGUAACCUUAAUUUCAUCUGCAAACUUAAAUCCUCCCUCCCAUGUAACAUACAUAUUUACAGAUUCUAGGGUUUAGGAUAUGGAAAUCUUUGGGCUCCAUUAUUUUGCCCACCACAUAGAGAUAGAGAAAGAAGGGAAGGCAACACAGGAUUGGUCCUAGAGUUUAUUGUUUGUUUGUUUGUAACGAAGUCUUGCCCUCAGCCUGGAGUGCAGAGGCACAGUCUCGGCUCACUGCAACCUCUACCUCCCGGGUUCAAAUGAUUCUCCUGCCUCACCAGGUAACUGAGAUUACAGGCAUGCUGCUACCAUGCCCGGCUAGAGUUUAUUAUUUUCUAAGUUACAGUGAAUGGCCUCUCAUUGGUCAAGAGGGACCAUGGGCUGAAAGAGAAGGGAAAGCAGUGUUCACUCUAAGAUGCAUGGAUACAAAAGUAAUACUGCUUUUAUUCCAAUCAUGUAGGGACACAAAAUGGGGAAACACCUUGUUUCUACUUCUACAAGGAACCAGACUGCCAUCUCUAGUGCAUGCAUCACAGGUACCCAGUGGGGCAGUGGAACAGCAAAAGCUACACCAUGAUGGACCACAGGAGUAAUGACCACAUUAUUUUAAAUUAACCUGGCCAAGGGGAAGCACUUUCACAUUGUUGACCAGUAAAGAGUUUUUGGUUGUUUAGAGGAUGCAGAACACAUGAAUGUAAAUAUGGGAAAAACAGACACUGUGGACUACUAGAGAAUGGAAGGAGAGAAGUGGUUCUCUGCCUGCAUACUAUUUCAGAAGGGGAAAAGGAGGGAUGAAGAAAGAGAGAAAAGAAGAGGAAUGGAAAAUGAACAAGGCUUUGGGAACCCCAGCUUUCCUCUGCCUUAUCUGUUCUUUCGUCUCUUUCCCGCAAUUCUACAAUUCUGAGGCUGACAAACCCUUCCCCCCAUACCUCUCACAUCCAUCUCCCAACCCUGUGCGUGAUGAAGUCUCAUACCUCUGGCUAUACCCCCCAGCAUUCUAGCUAGCAUCAGAAAUUCUAAAAAACUUUCUAUUCUCAUCAUUAAAAUUGAACCAAGAGGCUAGUUAAAGAAAACACAAAAGGCUGUAAGGAAUUUCCAACACUGUCCAAUUCUUUACACCCACAUAUGAUGAGUUCACAGAUCCUUUUCUUCCUCCUAAGCUGCUGAGAUCUAUUUAAAUAUAUGCAGAAGAAUGCCAGCAGCCCUCCUUCAAACUGAAUUCAAAACUGCCCAUUACACGGCACCCCAUUAUGCAUUCCAUUCUUUGCAGGGUUUUAUUUUGAGGAUGUACAUUGCUGGGUAAAGAGAGGCCUUUAGGGUACAGUAUAUUUCAAAACACAAUUAAAAUAAACUCUUCAAGUGGAAACGUAAAAUGCAUUUGUAUUCUAUUAAAGCCUUUGGCUUAUCAACUGCAGAGUGCUCCUUUACAAGGUCAUUAGUAACCAGCCUCACACAGUGGCCAACAGGCAUCAGCUGCACAAAAACAGACAGGGGCCCCGAACACCACAAUCACUUCCUGUACCUGUUCUUGUUUGCUUGCUGAGCCCUCGAAAUUGGGAGUUGCUGAAAUACAUAAAAGCGUAACAGCUUGAGUCAAUAUUUGCCGACCUAAGCGAGUGAUUUUGUUUAGCGAGGUGACUGAACCCGUUGAAUAAAUACAUCUCCUUGGAGGUAGUAGGACAACCAAAGGCAGGCACUGGUGGGGAGGGCUAAGGGCAGAACUAGAACUGCCCUUGGUGUGGAACUGGAUGGAGGGGGCACUGAAUCUUCUGAGGGUCCAGCUCUGGUUCUUUCUCUGCAAUUCUCUACAUAUAGUUGCACUCUCACUUCUAGACUAAAGGUUUGCAUUGCCAUCACUUGGGAGGCUUGAUCAGAAGCUGAUGGCUGGGCCCAGAGCUCUGAUUCAGUAAAUAGGGGGUGGGCCUCAGAAUUUGCAUUUUGGUAAGUUCCUAGGUGAUGCCGAUGCUGCUGGUUUGAGGAUCACACUUUGCGAGCCACUGGUCUAGACUAGCUCUGUCCAAUACAAACAUAAUGUGAGCCACAUGUGAUUUGAAAUGUUGUAGUAGCCAUGAGAAAAGCAUAAAGAAACUAAAGAACUUAAGUUUAGCAAC